GACAGAGGGUGCAAACGUUGUCCGGAUUUACUGGGCGUAAAGAGCGCGCAGGCGGUCGUUCAAGUCGAGUGUGAAAGCCCCCGGCUCAACUGGGGAGGGUCACUCGAUACUGAUCGACUUGAAGGCAGGAGAGGGAAGCGGAAUUCCCGGUGUAGUGGUGAAAUGCGUAGAUAUCGGGAGGAACACCAGUGGCGAAGGCGGCUUCCUGGCCUGUUCUUGACGCUGAGGCGCGAAAGCUAGGGGAGCAAACGGG
rnacentral:rRNA from 1 species